GCAGAGCACUCCUACGGGAGGCAGCAGUGGGGAAUCUUGCGCAAUGGGCGAAAGCCUGACGCAGCCAUGCCGCGUGAAUGAUGAAGGUCUUAGGAUUGUAAAAUUCUUUCACCGGGGACGAUAAUGACGGUACCCCGGAGAAGAAGCCCCGGCUAACUUCGUGCCAGCAGCCGCGGUAAUACGAAGGGGGCUAGCGUUGCUCGGAAUUACUGGGCGUAAAGGGCGCGUAGGCGGACAGUUUAGUCAGAGGUGAAAGCCCAGGGCUCAACCUUGGAAUUGCCUUUGAUACUGGCUGUCUUGAGUACGGGAGAGGUGAGUGGAACUCCGAGUGUAGAGGUGAAAUUCGUAGAUAUUCGGAAGAACACCAGUGGCGAAGGCGACUCACUGGCCCGUUACUGACGCUGAGGCGCGAAAGCGUGGGGAGCAAACAGGAUUAGAUACCCUGGUAG
rnacentral:rRNA from 1 species